rnacentral:lncRNA from 1 species
UUCACUUGUAUAAGCUUUAUUGUACUUAAGUACAUAAUCAUAUACAAAAGUUGGCUCAAUUAAUUUAUAAUUAACAAGCUAACGGUUCAAAAACAAGCACGUCUCAUAUUAACAGCAUGAUGUGAAAAAUACAAAAUCAAAUGAAAUAAUUCAAUUAAUGAAAGUGAUGAUGACAGAUAAAUAUAUCGACAUCGGUGAAUUAUAAAUAGAUAAACAAUAUUUUCUUAAUAUUUAAAAGCGACAAUCUGAUUGAAUAACUCAUAUUUCCUCUUUUAUCCGUACUUAAGAACCUAGAAAAAUGGCAGCUACAUCAAAUUAAAAGGACUGCUAUAAUAAAUGUCUACCUAAAUGUCUUAAUCAUAUCUGUUAGUCUUUGCAAUAUCUGCCGGAGCCAUUCAAACUAGAAUGUUUAUUUUGUUAAAAUUACCAUUAAGUUCCUUCAAUAUUAUUUUUGAAUCUCAACUAAUUAGAAAAUUAAUUGACUGAAGUACUGUCCAUUUUCAGAAUCAGGUCAAUAUUACCAUAUCCAAAAUGGAUGUGGCAUUUGCAACCAUAACUUAAAAGGUUAUCAUUUCUAUUUCAUUCUUGGUUUAUUGAACAUCAUUUGAGUAAAUACGCUAUAAAUAAAAAUUGUUUAAUUAUCUGCACUCUAUUUCAUUUUACAAUUUCCGAUGAAUUGAAAGGUAAUCCUCUCUAUUUCAUUCUUGAUUUAUUGAACUAAAAGCGAGGCAAUGGAAACAAAACAAACAUUCAGUCAUAAAUCAUCAUUAAAUUAAAUAUGAUAUAAUUGAGUACUUGUAAGUUAAGACAGGGGAGAUAACAAAUACUGACACAAUGUCAUUUCAUGAUUUUAAUUUUUUGUUAAACGAGUCGUGCUUUUAAUAUUCAACAGCACACAUAUACCAUAAAUUUGCAAUGGGAAAAUUCUGAAACCACAAAUUAAUAAAAACCCAGUAACAAAUAUUUCAAUAAACCAUGAAAACAUGAACCUAGGAACUAUUAAAGAUACCUUCUCAUUACUGUAAACCAACUUAUUUUCGCAGGCGAUUCAAUUUCGCGACUUUCGCGAGUAGAAAACUAUCGCGAAUAUAAAUCGUUGCAAAUAUGUAAAACUUGGAUCUUUCCUUAUUAAACUACAUCAAAUAAAUCAAUUAAUCGCGAAAUUAAAUAGCCGCGAAGUGGUCUUCACAGUUUAAAAUGCGAAAUAAAGUAUCCUCAAAAAUAAGUUGGUUUACAG